UAGGGAAUAUUGGACAAUGGAGGAAACUCUGAUCCAGCCAUCCCGCGUGAAGGAUUAAGGUCCUAUGGAUUGUAAACUUCUUUUCUUUGGGAAUAAAAUCUCCGAUUCUUCGGAGCUUGAAGGUACCAGGGGAAUAAGCACCGGCUAACUCCGUGCCAGCAGCCGCGGUAAUACGGAGGGUGCAAGCGUUAUCCGGAUUCACUGGGUUUAAAGGGUGCGUAGGUGGUUUUGUAAGUCAGUGGUGAAAGCCUACAGCUUAACUGUAGAAUUGCCAUUGAUACUGCUUAACUUGAAUCAAGUCGAAGUGGAUGGAAUAGAUCAUGUAGCGGUGAAAUGCUUAGAUAUGAUUUAGAACACCAAUUGCGAAGGCAGUUCACUAGGCUUGUAUUGACACUGAGGCACGAAAGCGUGGGGAUCAAACA
rnacentral:rRNA from 1 species